UAAAGCAAUUAAGGGCACAUGGCGGAUGCCUUGGCUCUAAGAGGCGAAGAAGGACGUGGUAAGCUGCGAUAAGCUGCGGGAAGUUGCACACAAGCGUUAUAUCCGCAGAUCUCCGAAUGGGACAACCUAUGCCGAUGAAGUCGGCAUAUCCACUGAAAAGUGGAAGCCAACCUCCUGAACUGAAACAUCUAAGUAGGGAGAGGAAAAGAAAACAAUCGUGAUUCCCUGAGUAGUGGCGAGCGAAAAGGGAGAAGCCCAAAUCAUGGUAGCGUGCUACCGUGAGGUUGUAGGACUGCAUUUAGAAAUCAUCAACAAGUAGAAUUUUCUGGAAAGCUAAGCCAUAGAGGGUGAUAGCCCCGUAAACGUAGAUUGAUGAGGACGAGCAGUAUCCUGAGUAGGGUGGGACCGGAGAAAUCCUGCCUGAAUCUGCCAGCACCAUCUGGUAAGGCUAAAUACUUCUUAGAGACCGAUAGUGAACCAGUACCGUAAGGGAAAGGUGAAAAGCACCCCAAACAGGGGAAUGAAAUAGUACCUGAAACCGUGUGCCUACAAGCGGUCGGAGUCCCGAUUUAUCGGGAUGACGGCGUGCCUUUUGCAUAAUGAGCCUACGAGUUGCUCCUCACUGGCAAGGUUAAGUUCUUAAUUAACGGAGCCGUAGCGAAAGCGAGUCCAAACAGGGCGACUAGUCAGUGGGGGCAGACGCGAAACUUUGUGAUCUAUCCAUGGGCAGGUUGAAGUCCCGGUAACACGGGAUGGAGGACCGAACCCAUUAACGUUGAAAAGUUCUGGGAUGACCUGUGGAUAGGGGUGAAAGGCCAAUCAAACUGAGAGAUAGCUCGUACUCCCCGAAAUGUUUUUAGGAACAGCCUCGGAAUUAAUUCUGUUAGAGGUAGAGCUACUGAUUGGGCUAGGGGGCUUCACCGCCUACCAAACCCUGACAAACUCCGAAUGCUAACAGAUAUCUCCGGGAGUGAGGCUGCGGGUGCUAAGAUCCGUGGCCGAGAGGGAAAUAACCCAGAAUAGCAGCUAAGGUCCCUAAUACAUAGUUAAGUUGGUCAAACGAGGUAGGACUUCACUGACAGCCAGGAUGUAUGCUUGGAAGCAGCAAUCCAUUUAAAGAUAGCGUAACAGCUCACUGGUCGAGAGGUCCCGCACGGAAAAUGAUCGGGCAUCAAACUAUGAACCGAAGCUCUAUGAUCCCGAUGUAACAGUUGGGAUUCGGUAGGGGAGCAUUGAAAUCUGCAUUGAAGGUGAUAGGCGACUAUUGCUGGAGCGAUUUCAAAAGAAAAUGUAGGCAUAAGUAACGAUAAAACAGGUGAAAAACCUGUUCGCCGAAAGUCUAAGGGUUCCUGAUCAACGUUAAUCGGAUCAGGGUUAGCCCGGUCCUUAGGCAAACCCGAAAGGGGUAGCUGAUGGAAAGCAGGUUAAUAUUCCUGCGCCUGCUAUACACUAAAAGUGACGAAGAGCCGUGGUGGCUACGUGCUGACGGAUAUGCACGUUGAGCCGAGCCUUCGGGCAAAGCGAAGUCAUAAAAGUUCUUCCAAGAAAAACGAGUAUAGCAGCCGGUACCGCAAACCGACACAGGUAGACGGGAUGAGUAUUCUAAGGCGCUCGGGUGAGCCGUGGAGAAGGAACUAGGCAAAUUGACGCUGUAACUUCGGGAGAAAGCGUUCCCGACCCCGUAAGGGUGUCGGGACUCAGUAAAAUGGUUCAACCAACUGUUUAACAAAAACACAGGGCCCUGCAAAAUCGAAAGAUGACGUAUAGAGCCUGAUACCUGCCCGGUGCUGGAAGGUUAAGGAAGGGUGUUCGCCGCAAGGCAAAGCUCCUGACUGAAGCCCCAGUAAACGGCGGCCGUAACUAUAACGGUCCUAAGCCUUGUCGGGUAAGUUCCGACCUGCACGAAUGGUCUAAUGAGUUGAACACUGUCUCCUCCACGAGCCCGGUGAAAUUGUAGUAUCGGUGAAGAUGCCGGUUACCCGCCACGGGACGGAAAGACCCCGUGAACCUUCACUACAACUUUGCAUUGAUUUUGAGUUUUAGAUGUGUAGAAUAGUUGGGACGCUAUGAAGCCUUGCCGUCAGGUAGGGUGGAGCGGUCGGUGAAAUACCAACCUUCUGACACUUAGAGUCUAAUCCCGCCAUAGGCGGGAAACAUUGCAUGGUGGGUAGUUUGACUGUGGCGGUGGCUUGCAAAGGUACCCUCAGUACGGUUGGUAAUCGUACGUAGAGCGCAUCAGUAUAAGGGUGCUUGACUGUGAGGCAUACACGCCGAGCAGGGACGAAAGUCGGCUGAAGUGAUCCGGUGGUUCUGUAUG
rnacentral:rRNA from 1 species